rnacentral:tRNA from 1 species
GGAUAGCCAAAUGGUAAAGGCACUCCUGACACAAUAAGUCUCAUAAUUAGUUUUAGGUUAUUGCUCCAAUCUAAACUUAAAAAUUCACCUUCUGCAUCGACCUCUGUAAACAAAUGUCAGUGGGACACGAGUUCAAAUCUUGUCCGGUCCUCCA